CGGGGGGGGUUUAACCAUGCAAGUCGAACGAUGAACUCCUUCGGGGGUGGAUUAGUGGCGAACGGGUGAGUACCAUGCGGGCAAUCUGCCCUUCACUCUGGGACAAGCCCUGGAAACGGGGUCUAAUACCGGAUAACACCGGCUUCCGCAUGGGAGCUGGUUGAAAGCUCCGGCGGUGAAGGAUGAGCCCGCGGCCUAUCAGCUUGUUGGUGGGGUGAUGGCCUACCAAGGCGACGACGGGUAGCCGGCCUGAGAGGGCGACCGGCCACACUGGGACUGAGACACGGCCCAGACUCCUACGGGAGGCAGCAGUGGGGAAUAUUGCACAAUGGGCGAAAGCCUGAUGCAGCGACGCCGCGUGAGGGAUGACGGCCUUCGGGUUGUAAACCUCUUUCAGCAGGGAAGAAGCGAAAGUGACGGUACCUGCAGAAGAAGCGCCGGCCAACUACGUGCCAGCAGCCGCGGUAAUA
rnacentral:rRNA from 1 species